GAAAGCCACACUGCAAUUAAAAAUGCAUUGUUGUUGUUUGUUUGUUUUGUUUUUUUUGCGUGUUUUUCUUUUCGAAAUUAUAAUUAAACCGUUAAAAGUCCCGCCUUUAAUAAAAGAUAUUCUCCAUGCGCUAAUUUCUAUUGUGUACCUUUGGUUGGCGCCUGGGCUCCGGAGGAGGAUGUCACUCGGCUCAGUAGAGCGUUAGCUUCCACACCUCCUCCUUCAACAGUCCCAGUUGGACCUCCAGAACCCGAGGAAGUGUCGCCUGCUUUCACGUCGAACAAUUCCGGGGGUAAUCCAGCUUCGCGACGUAAAAUAUCGACAGACUCAGACAGUUGGUUUUUUUUAAGGAAUUGCAGAAUUGCCAGCAAUGUCUGCUUCUCCUCUAGAGCUCCUGUCACUGGUUUGUUACUUUCAACAGUAGAUCCGGGCCCGGACGACGUAGAAAGUACCCUUCCGUCAUUAGCAUUGUUGUUUACGACGGCAUCAGCGGGUGGUUCUGUUUUAAUCUCCUUCAUUUCAACAUCGUCGGCCAUACCGCCUUGUACGGCCGCCAUUUUCGAAAUGAACUGCGCAUGCGCAAUGUUACAGAAAAGGAAAGGUCUUCUGGGCAUCUGAUUGGCUACUGACGUCCGUACAAGGCGCAACUGCUGUGGUCACAUGCCGUAAUAUAAAAGAAAAUCUGCCACAAUGUCUGUAAAUUUCACAACCUAAGUACACUGUAAAUGCUAACAUUCAAAUUAAUUAAAUGUGAUAAGUGAACUAAACUCAAUUUUCAUCAACCUGUUGUGAACACUACUUUUAAAUAAGUAAGUAGUAAUUUGGGGUUGGAGAACUUGCUUAACUUGAUAUAUCCCAGUUAAGUCAAAUUAGAAAAAAUAAUUUCUUGUACCCAGUGUCCUUUGGGCGUUCUAUCAGACAUGCGCAGAUCUGCCCUGCCCACUUUCGCGCUCUUUCCAACACCUUUCUCAGUUAUUUUCGCCAUUGUGGGUUUACUUGUCCUCAGCAUACUGAUUUUGCACUGCUGCAAUCGUCACACUUUUUCUGUUACAAACUGACCCGGCCCCUCAUCAGAGAAGGGAAAAGUCAUGUGGCCUUCACAGGAAAAGGUUUGGGGACCCCUGCUUUAGAGUGUUUGUCAUCUGCCCUUCCAUUUGCUUUUCUUCAUGUGCAGUGCUCCCCCUCCAUGUUUGAUCAAACUGCACUGAUAAUUUGAAAUUGUUUUAAAAUGCAUUAAUCGCAAAAAUCAGAGGACUAGAUCACAUUUCCCCCUGUUAUUUCACCACUUUAACUUUGGUCUAACCUAAUAUAUGAAUACAGAUAGAAAGAGUGCAGAGAUCACACUCGACGCCAUAACAACCUGGUGUGUUUAAGGUUGGUCAUUUAUGUGCCUAUAUUUUGAAAUUGUUGCCUUAAUUUUGUGUUCUUUUUCACCAUCCCCCAAUCAGGCUGAAGCAAAUGGUCAAAAGUCCACACAUACCUCAGUCUCAGCAAUUACAGGUCAACCAAAGCAGUAUUCUCUAAUGCAGUGGACUUGCAAGUACUGCACAUUUUCUGCUGAAAAGAGCCUACUUGCUUAAGCAUUACCGCUUAAAACAUGGAUACCACACUCGGACAUCCCAACUCCCAUGUCUUCAUAAGGACUGCCUCUGCACAUUUAAAUCUUUUAAUGCACUCAAAGUACACCUAUCGACAUGGCACUCUCAAAAAGAUGCAGGCAAAAGUGGAGAAACUGCAUUUGACCGUCAGUUGUGCAACUUUGUGGAGCCCUGCUCAGAAGCAGACUUCUUUACCCAUUUGUCUCAAAUAUUUUUUCACAUUCAAACCUUUUUUUCUACAAUUGUUUUUUUUUUGUUUUUUUUUUUUUUUGUUUUUUUUUAAUUGAAGUGAUUUUAUUUUGAAAAUAUACAUUUUUUGUUUGAAGCAACUUAUUUUUGGAUUGAAUAAUAAAGACACAAAUGCCCUAGCCAAAAUGUGGUCCAAACGCAGAAUUACAUCAAUCAAAAAAGUUGUUUCAAUUAAAAAAAAAAAAAAUUAAAUUUUUUAAAAAAAUUUUCAAUCAAAGAAAAAUAGUUUUCAAACAUAUUUUUUGACUUACAAAUUUAUUUUUGCAUUCAAACAAAUUUUUUUGAUUGACAUGACUUUUUCUUUGAUUGAAAAAAAAAUAAUAUAUAUAUAUACUAAUGAAAUA